rnacentral:tRNA from 1 species
AACUUUGUAGCUCAGUUGGUUAGAGCACUGCAUCGGAAUUGCAGGGCCGCAGGUUCGAUUCCUGUCCGAGGGCA